GACGAACGCUGGCGGCGUGCUUAACACAUGCAAGUCGAACGCUAAGGCCCUGCUUUUGUUCUUUUCUCGAGUGGCGAGCGCGUGAGUAACACGUGAGUAUCCUGCCCUUGACUGUGGGAUAACUUCAGGAGACUGGGGCGAUUACCGCAUAUAACCUCCUACUGCAUGUGGCGUUUUGGAGAGUGUCGGCGUUUUGGGAUGAACUCGCGGCUUUGCAGCUUAUUGGUGGGUAAGUGACGUACUAACGCAUUGACGGGUAGCCGGCCUGAGAGGGUGACCGGGCACAGUGGGACUGAGAUACGGGCAAGACUCCUACGUGAGGCAGCAGUGGGGAAUAUUGCACAAUGGGCGGAAGCCUGAUGCAGCAACGCCGGGUGCGGGAUGACGGCCUUCGGGUUGGAAACCGCUUUCGCCUGGGACGAAGCGUGAGUGACGGUAAUGGGUAAGGAAGCACCGGCUAACUACGUG
rnacentral:rRNA from 1 species